CCCAUUUCAUUUUUAUGUCAUGCAGCCUUCAAAUGCAGCCCUAAAACCGGCCUCGUUUCCAUGGAAAUGGGGCCGCGAACGGAGGACACAUCCGAGUAUCCUUCGCAGCCUUCAGUAUCCCAGCAUGCACCGCGCGGCGGCAGUCAGAUGUUCGAAAACACGGAGAAAAACAUCCUCCUGUAUGAGGACACGGCACACUGCAGGGGCCACAGAACUGUUGGCUGACAAGAUGCUUGUGAUUCAUAAAAUGGGUCAAAUGCAGAUGACAAAGUAAAGCCAACACUGAGCUGGAGGUGCUGACCCAGACUCCUGCCAACGAUUAGGUUUUCACUCUACAGGACAGAACUUUGAAUCAAUCAGACGCAACAACCAUUCUGCUCUUCCUCCUCCAGAAGACGAGAGACCCAUCACACUGAGUGGUCCAAGUCCACUGUCCAUG